UUAGCAUGGAAUAAUGAAAUAGGAUCUCGGUUCUAUUUCGUUGGCUUUCGGAGUCGAGGUAAUGAUUAAUAGGGACAGACGGGGGCAUUCGUACUGCGACGUUAGAGGUGAAAUUCAUGGAUCGUCGCAAGACGAACUACUGCGAAAGCAUUUGCCAAGAAUGUUUUCAUUAAUCAAGAACGAAAGUUAGAGGUUCGAAGGCGAUCAGAUACCGCCCUAGUUCUAACCAUAAACGAUGUCGACCAGCGAUCCGUCGUCGUUAAUUUUAAUGACUCGACUGGCAGCUUCCGGGAAACCAGAGUGUUUGGAUUCCAGGGGGAGUAUGGUUGCAAAGCUGAAACUUGAAAGAAUUGACGGAAGGGCACCACCAGGAGUGGAGCCUGCGGCUUAAUUUGACUCAACACGGGAAAUCUCACCAGGCCCGGACACCGGAAGGAUUGACAGAUUGAUAGCUCUUUCUUGAUUCGGUGGGUGGUGGUGCAUGGCCGUUCUUAGUUGGUGGAGCGAUUUGUCUGGUUAAUUCCGAUAACGAACGAGACUCUGGCCUACUAACUAGACGACGGAUCCUUUAUGGGUCUGUCGCUGCUUCUUAGAGGGACGGGCGGCUUUUAGCCGCACGAGAAUGAGCAAUAACAGGUCUGUGAUGCCCUUAGAUGUUCUGGGCUGCACGCGCGCUACACUGAAGAAAUCAGCGUGUGUUCCCUAUCCGAAAGGAUUGGGAAACCCGUUGAACCUUCUUCGUGAUGGGGAUAGGGCAUUGCAAUA
rnacentral:rRNA from 1 species